CAGAUUCCUAAUAUGGGAAAAUGGAAGCAGAAGGACGUAAAGAGCGUUUUCAUUGGUUGACACAACAUAUUGCUGGUUUUAGUGACUUUGUGGAUGCCAUACAUUUACUUAAAUUUGCUAGCAACACGCAAUGAUGAUUCGAAGCAGCAAUUGUACAAAACACAGCCAAAGGAUACAUUUCAGAGGUGGACAAGAAACAGGAGGAAUCCUUGGUUGACAAAAUAGCUUGUUGGAUUAAGUGAAUUUUUGGAUAGUUUACAUUUACUGAAACCUGCAAGCAACCUCAACGAUGGUGACUGGUUCAGAUCAGUAGAUGUGUGAAAAACUGCCAACGGAUGCAUUUUCGUGAUCUUGAGAGUCAGUGGACAAGGAACGAUUGUAAAGAGUAUCAGAAGAUACCUAAGGCCCAACAACAAACCUUAUGCUUGAAAAGAAUCAUCAAAAGCUUUGGCGGGGCUUAUGUUGAAAGAUGUUUCGUAGAUUCCAAAAUCCACUUCUAGUCUUACCUUGAAGCAAGGAAACAGUUCACUCCAAUACUUCAAGAUGCAAGGGAUCCAAUGCUGAAUUAUAGAAGUCGUAUAAGACUCAAUUUUAAGUAUAAGAGCCGUCAGAACAAGUAGCUGCAAUUAUCUCCUCACAAUUCACACCUUCUGAGGCCAAGAAAGAAGAAGCUACUCCUACUGAAGCAAGAACAAAUAAGCCGUCUCAUGACAGCUCCGAGGAUGCAGAGCUCAACAACAAGACUUCAGACACCAAGUUCUUUAUCAUUCUUUGGGAGAUUGUAAACAGUUAUGUGACGACUCAGCAGAUAGAAGACAAAGAGAACGUUCCUCCUGCUUUCACACCCAAACCACCGGUGCAGUUUUCUCAAGGAGGAAAGUCCAUGAACCUUAAGAAGCAGCAAACUGCUAGAAAGAUAGAUAGUCUUCUGAAGAAUCCAUCGCACGUAGCCCGAAAACCAAGUCACAAUUGUCUCAAGCCAAAGGCAGUCAUCAGAAAAGUGUGAAAAGGGAAACGAGUGUCAGAAACAUAGUUAGCAUUAUAUCACUUAGCCACUCAUGAGUAAACUAUAUAAGUUAGGACUGCCAAUCUGAUUCAGGAAAAUCAAGACAGAUUCUCAAUCCAAAACCAACAACUCUGCUCCACAAGAUAAGACAGAGUAUGCCCUCAGUCACUAAGAACACUCCAAAGGAGAAUAGAAAGAUAUAAGGUAUUGUUUUCUUUGCAUCACAGUUUUGUAUUCAAUUUCCGUCAGACCCUCUCAACUCUUGUUUUCAUUUCUUAAUGUUUAUGUCCACGAGAAAAUUGCACCUUUUGUUUCAACUGCUGAACUAAUGAAGAAGUUCCAAAACUUGCCAUAUUCUCAUGCCAACACUUCUCUUCCACUGACUCGAGCUAAGCUGACACUGACAAGACCCAAGGAACCGAAUUUGUGACAUUCCAAGAGCUCGUCCUUUGAAAAUCAAGAGAAGAGGAGAACUUGAUGAAGAGAUAUUGGCUAAGAUUCAACCAUGAUCAAAAUGCUUGAAAGAAGAGGAACUGUGAAGAGAAAUGGAAGAGAGAAUAACCCCAGAAGAGGCUCUUCAAAGCACAACCAGUUAUAAAAGAGUAACUGACUUGCCCCUUUUUUACUUUUUAUCACUGGUUUCAAAAUGCUUUCACAUUUUGCUUUGAUGAUCACAUAGGGACCCAAUCCCUGUUACAAAGAAAGUACGAAUUCCCCUCAGAGAAAUUCAGAAGUUCUGUCUCCAUGUAGAGUGAGUAGACUUUCAUCAUAAUGUAAGGUUUCAGACUUCAGUCAUUCCAGCUGACAAAAGAAUGCUUCAAUAACCUCUGAUGUGGUAUUAGUUCUGUAGCACGUAAUAUAUGUUUAUUUGCAGAUCAAAAUGCUUGAAAGACGAACUCUAGAAUUCCAACUUUUAGUUUCUUA